GGUGACGUGGCCGAGUGGCUGAAGGCAACGGUUUGCUAAAUCGUCAUACGUGAAAGCGUAUCCAGGGUUCGAAUCCCUGCGUCACCGCCA
rnacentral:tRNA from 10 species